rnacentral:rRNA from 1 species
UACGAAGGGGGCUAGCGUUGCUCGGAAUCACUGGGCGUAAAGGGUGCGUAGGCGGUUCUUUAAGUCAGGGGUGAAAUCCUGGAGCUCAACUCCAGAACUGCCUUUGAUACUGAGGAUCUUGAGUUCGGGAGAGGUGAGUGGAACUGCGAGUGUAGAGGUGAAAUUCGUAGAUAUUCGCAAGAACACCAGUGGCGAAGGCGGCUCACUGGCCCGGUACUGACGCUGAGGUGCGAAAGCGUGGGGAGCAAACAGG